rnacentral:lncRNA from 1 species
AUAAAAAUAUUUUCAAUGUUUCAAAUAACGCUACAUCCGAAAAGAAUUUUUUUACCACCAGAGAGUUAUUUCUUGUCUCGUGUUUUUUUUUAACUUAAUAUUUGUUUUUCAGUUGUCAGCAUUUUACAAUGCAUCUAUAAUCAGCUCCCGACUAUGGUUUUGUUCUAUAAUUGUGACUUGGAUUGAGAAGUGCCUCAUUUGGACUCGUACCACAUUUUUUUAAAUGGAAGUUGUACUAAAAUUAGAUUUUAUAUCAUUCAUCAAUACAAAUUGGAAAGCUUUCUCAUGGACUCUUUUUUUCACGGCAGGAUUGUUCUUAACAUUGUGUAAUGAUUUUUGUAUUAAAUACAUCAUCUAGUUCUCGAAAGUAUCAACUUCAAGUUAUAACAUCAUCUAAUCCAUAAUUUGAAUUAAAUAUAUAUAAAUACAGAAGGGUAAAACAUAUUGCUUUAUUGUGGUAAUCAUUUGGGCAACUUAAAAAGAUAAAAUAGAUGACUAAUCUGUUUUGCCGUAUUUACAUUUCGACUCAUGAAAUAUACAAGUUUAUGAAACGUGCUUGAGGAAAUAAAUUUUAACCAUUUCUUAAAAAGAACUUGUACAGUAAUUAAUUAAUAACAACGGUGUUAUUUAAGAAAGGGAAAACGAAACAAUUCAUGCCACAGAAACAUUAAUUGAACGCUAUUGUGUUAUUUUGAACUGUAGUUUAUGUCUGUCAUUAUUAACAUAUUAUUGUAUCAUUUUUGAAGGACGCCAUGUUUUGUUUUAAAUUUAAAUGUAUAUUCACGAUGUGGCCGAAUUUUCUAAUCUUGUACAUAACUGUCUUUUUAAAACAAAAUUAUUUCCUUGUUUGUGGCUCUAUGUAUGUUUAAUAUCAUUUCCUGAAAAGUAUACCACAUGUAAACAUACGUUAUCUGUCCUAUCAAUAACAUUGUCAUCUCGUGAAUAAGUAUUGGUACUAUUUCAUUUGAAUACUACUAUCGGGCUUAUAAUCUCUGAUUAUGGGCUUUCAAUCUCCGGAAGUACCCCUACCAGGUAAAUAAAUUCGAUCAAGAAUUUGGAACUAUCAUAAAUACUGAUAAAGUUUUAUGGUGUUUUGUGUCUGUCAUUAAAGAAAGCUGUCUCCUACGUGAACAUCUCAUUGUCACUGUUAGGAAAUGUGCAUCUGGAUCAGUAAAAUUGGUACCGUUUAAUUUUAUUAUUUAUUAUGAAUACUCACGUACUGAAAAUUGGCUUCCAACAUGUCUGUGCAGAAUUCAUACGUUAUUACAGAACAUGAUGUUAUACAUUGUUUGAGUUAGACUGUUUAAAUGACUAGUGUUCUAUUUUAUAAUUUCGAAAUAAUAAAACUCGGUAGUGUUUGUCAGUGUUUUUUUUUUUAUUUGUGUACAUUUAGAAAUAAGGUAUAAAUAGCAUUAUUUCAAUUGUUUGUAUAAAAGGGUGACAAAUCCAUGUUAAAAAAUCGAAAACGACUAAAAGACAAACGACUUUCUACAAACCACAACAUAGAAAACUGAAGACAACAAGAAACCCAACAACAAAGUAUGGAGGUAAUAUCAGGUGUUCCGAAAGGAUGAGAAACCCUGUUCAACAUGUAGAAAUUCAUUUACUUACUAAAUUCAGGGGUUUAAUUCUAGUCUGUCAGUUCAAAACAUGUUGUUUAUUUUGAAACUGAACAACAGAAAUAAAACGACAGAAUAUAAAGUCGAAAGAAAACCGAAAAA